rfam:Streptomyces sp. G25(2015) STSP_contig000018, whole genome shotgun sequence.
GGGCGCGUAGCUCAGCGGUAGAGCGCUGCCCUUACAAGGCAGAUGUCGGCGGUUCGAAACCGUCCGCGCCCA